AAGUCGUAACAAGGUCUCCGUUGGUGAACCAGCGGAGGGAUCAUUACAGAGUUGCAAAACUCCCAACCAUUGUGAACCUACCUCACCGUUGCUUCGGCGGGUGGCCCGGGGCAACCCAGGCCGCGCCAGCUUCUCUUCAGGAGCCUGGCAAACCCGUCAGAGGACCGAAACUCUUCGUCAUCAGUGGCCUCUCUGAGUAACUUAUACAAUAAGUCAAAACUUUCAACAACGGAUCUCUUGGUUCUG
rnacentral:misc_RNA from 1 species